rnacentral:rRNA from 1 species
CAGUAGCCGCGGUAAUACGGAGGGUGCAAGCGUUAAUCGGAAUUACUGGGCGUAAAGCGCACGCAGGCGGUCUGACAAGUCAGAUGUGAAAUCCCCGGGCUUAACCUGGGAACUGCAUUUGAAACUGUCAGGCUGGAGUCUUGUAGAGGGGGGUGGAAUUCCAGGUGUAGCGGUGAAAUGCGUAGAGAUCUGGAGGAAUACCGGUGGCGAAGGCGGCCCCCUGGACAAAGACUGACGCUCAGGUGCGAAAGCGUGGGGAGCAAACAGGAUUAGAUACCCGUGUAGUCCCUGUCUUUUAUAC